rnacentral:rRNA from 1 species
AGGGUGUAAACGCUGCAUACUUGGUGUUGGAAGUCCUUUGGGGGCAUUCAGUGCCGGAGAGAAGUUGUUAAGUCUGCUACUUGGGGAGUACGUCCGCAAGGAUGAAACUUAAAGGAAUUGGCGGGGGAGCACCGCAACGGGAGGAGCGUGCGGUUUAAUUGGAUUCAACACCGUAAAACUCACCAGGGAAGACUGUUACAUGAAAGCCGAGAUGAAGACUCUGCUAGAUUUUCAGAGAGGUGGUGCAUGGCGUCAGUGACU